AAUUGCUUAAAAUGGAAUACAAAAAGGUUCACCCAAAUAUGGUGAUUGUUUCAGAGGCUAUGAUAUUAUCGUUUGAAAUGAGGCGUAAUGAUAUGUUGACUAAUGUAAGGCCAGUGGAGCAACUUCUGGAUGAGUAUCCAUUUUUGAGUAACAAGGAUGAGCUUCUAGCUGAAUUUUGUCGAAUUUUACACAAGCCACAAUUAAUUCAGACAUAUACAUGUAGCUGGACUGAAAAGUGGAUCAAGAGAAUGGUGUGUGUCUGUUGCAGUAAUUUGCAUGGUGCAGAACAGGAGAAAGCCAAAGAACUUUCCUUGUUAUGUGAAACCC